CUCCCUCGCGAUCUAUUGAGAUAUUCAAGCACCGGGCAAGGGCAAAAUAUACUCACCAAGGUAUGCGAGUUGAUCGACCCGUCGCUGAAUUCCUGGGAUGAGGCGCUUGCGCGAUAGACUUUCAACCAUGAGGAUGCAAAAUCUAUCCUAUCCAUACCAGUCUUUGAUCAGCACGAAGACUUUAUUGCUUGGCACUUUGAUGCGAAGGGCCUUUUCUCUGUCAAAUCAGCCUACAGAGUGCAUGUAAGAAUGGUGAAUGAGGAGACCCAGGUGCAGCAGGGUGAAGGAUCAUCAAAAGAAGGUUGGCGCAAUCCUGUAUGGAGAUCCGUUUGGAAAAUCAGCUGCCCGGGAAAGGUCCACCACUUCCUUUGGCUUUUCGGGCACAAUAGACACCCCCUCCACAUGAACAUCGCGAAGUGAGGAAUUGAACUAGAUACACGCUGUUUGGUUUGUGGGCGGCUGUUUGAAGACGGAGGCCAUUUUUUCUUCAAAUGCAAAUGGGUCAAGCAAGUUUGGAGGGUGGCUGGUCUCGACAAUGUCAGACAGGAACUACUGGGAGCUUCUUCACCUUUAGAAGUACUCGAGAAGGUUUUUGCCCUGCCAAACAUGACGAAGCUCAUAAGUAUCUGCCUGUUGUGGAAAUGGUGGAGUGAAUGGAACAGUUUUAGACACGGUGAACGGAGGACCCCUGCGGAGAUGUUUGCCAGCCAAAUGAUGAUCACUACUGCGUAA
rnacentral:rRNA from 1 species